rnacentral:tRNA from 1 species
GCCUGGCUGGCUCAAUCGGUUGAGUGUCCGACUUCAGUUCAGGUCAUGAUCUCAUGGUUUGUGAGUUCAAACCCACGUCAAGCU